AACGAUGGGACGUGUCUUAAGACUGUUAAUAAUCUUGGAAAUGGAAUGCAUUAUGGAAUAAAGUCAAUAGCGCAUCCUGCUAUUAAAGAAACCUUGAUUGGAGUUUGGGGACAAUAUCACAAUAUAUUUAUACUUGAUCCUAAUACACUGGAGUUCAUUUGUGCUUUGAAAUCCUCUCACAAUCCAAACUGGAUAUCACAACUUAUGGAAGGUAAUACGGAAGCUGCAGGUGUGGAGUCUAUCAUUGGUAAGCUUCAUUGAGAGGAAGGUCUGCUGCUCCUGAUUUCAAGUCUCAUUUCACUGGCUCUCUCUCUGACUCAUGGCAGUCCCCAGCCACUUCUUGUUCCCUUAUUGACUCAGUUUAUCCCAGUAUCAGUGCUGGUCCUUCUUCCAAUAUUACUGUUUCUUUAUUUUUGACACAAUUAUGGUCCGUUGAUCUGUGUAUUGUCCAAUGGUGGUAUUAUAGUUCUAUCAGGAACUCAAGCAGCUCCCAAACUCUUACUAGCCAAGAGAAAGUUCUCAAAAGCAUGGUCUCAGUAUUAUUUCUUAAGAGGUCACAAGAGGAGAGUCCCCUCCUGUUGUAUCCUGUGACUAUAGCACUGCUUAUGAUACCAAUCACUUGUUAUCUGGUGGUCCUGAUUUCUCUGUUAGAUUGUGGGACCUCUUCAAAGGAAUAUUGUUCCACACUAUUGCAGUUCAUGGUGGGUGGUCAGUAGCAUUGUAGCAUGUCCUCCUCAUAUUAAUCUCACCUAGACUCCUAGUAUCAUGCCUUCAUGCAUGGAACCUUGACAACUCACUGGACAAGUUAGUGUUA